rnacentral:rRNA from 1 species
ACGAACGCUGGCGGCGUGCUUAACACAUGCAAGUCGAACGGAAAGGCCCUGCUUUUGUGGGGUGCUCGAGUGGCGAACGGGGGAGUAACACGUGAGUAACCUGCCCUUGACUUUGGGAUAACUUCAGGAAACUGGGGCUAAUACCGGAUAGGAGCUCCUGCUGCAUGGGGGGGGUUGGAAAGUUUCGGCGGUUGGGGAUGGACUCGCGGCUUAUCAGCUUGUUGGGGGGGUAGUGGCUUACCAAGGCUUUGACGGGUAGCCGGCCUGAGAGGGGGACCGGCCACAUUGGGACUGAGAUACGGCCCAGACUCCUACGGGAGGCAGCAGUGGGGAAUAUUGCACAAUGGGCGGAAGCCUGAUGCAGCAACGCCGCGUGCGGGAUGACGGCCUUCGGGUUGUAAACCGCUUUCGCCUGUGACGAAGCGUGAGUGACGGUAAUGGGUAAAGAAGCACCGGCUAACUACGUG